rnacentral:rRNA from 1 species
GACCAGACUCCUACGGGAGGCAGCAGUGAGGAAUAUUGGUCAAUGGUCGGGAGACUGAACCAGCCAAGCCGCGUGAGGGAGGAAGGUACAGAGUAUCGUAAACCUCUUUUGUCAAGGGACAAAAUCAGGCUCGAGAGCCUGACCGAGGGUACUUGAAGAAAAAGCAUCGGCUAACUCCGUGCCAGCAGCCGCGGUAAUACGGAGGAUGCGAGCGUUAUCCGGAUUUAUUGGGUUUAAAGGGUGCGUAGGCGGACUGUAAAGUCAGGGGUAAAAGCCGGGGGCUCAACCCGGGCGAGCCGUUGAAACUGGCUGUCUUGAGAUGUCGAGAGGUAUGCGGAAUGCGCAGUGUAGCGGUGAAAUGCUUAGAUAUUGCGCAGAACUCCGAUUGCGAAGGCAGCAUACCGGCGCUCAACUGACGCUCAUGCACGAAAGCGUGGGUAUCGAACAGGAUUAGAUACCCCAGUA